GAUGAACGCUGGCGGCGUGCCUAAUACAUGCAAGUCGAGCGAACGGACGAGAAGCUUGCUUCUCUGAUGUUAGCGGCGGACGGGUGAGUGACACGUGGAUAACCUACCUAUAAGACUGGGAUAACUUCGGGAAACCGGAGCUAAUACCGGAUAAUAUUUUGAACCGCAUGGUUCAAAAGUGAAAGACGGUCUUGCUGUCACUUAUAGAUGGAUCCGCGCUGCAUUAGCUAGUUGGUAAGGUAACGGCUUACCAAGGCAACGAUGCAUAGCCGACCUGAGAGGGUGAUCGGCCACACUGGAACGAAGACACGGUCCAGACUCCUACGGGAGGCAGCAGUAGGGAAUCUUCCGCAAUGGGCGAAAGCCUGACGGAGCAACGCCGCGUGAGUGAUGAAGGUCUUCGGAUCGUAAAACUCUGUUAUUAGGGAAGAACAUAUGUGUAAGUAACUGUGCACAUCUUGACGGUACCUAAUCAGAAAGCCACGGCUAACUACGUG
rnacentral:rRNA from 1 species